ACAGCAGCAGCAAAUCCAAACCUUGCAGUCUGAUGGAAAAUACAGGAUGGGAGACCCAGCCAGAAAAAUUGAGAUCUGAAGGCAGAGACAAAGAGUAAAUGCUAAUUACAUCUGAGUUUGAGGAAUUGCAAUAAACCAGCUGCCAUGGGCCCAUAGGAGUAGGAGAAGAUAAUUCAAGCUCUUGGGAAUGACUUAGAGGUUAGCAAGAGUGUACCUCCGUGCUCUGUAACUCUUCUACCUUCUGCCGAGGGAUACUGUAGCAAGGAGACCCUCACUGAAUGCUGAGUAGAUGGUGGUGCAUGCCUUUGGACUUUUCAGCCUCCAGAACUGUGAGCCAAAUAAAUUUCUUUUCUUUAUCCUUACCCAAUCUUAGGCAUUCUGUAAUAGCAGCACAAAAUGGACUAAGACAAAAUGUUUGGGGAUUUGUUCUGACAACUUGAGCUAGCAUCCUCUUCCUGAAGGUUGUCUUUAAAGAAUCACUCUGGAAUUCCAUAAACUUCAGCUCAUAUCUGCAAAUGUAAUGAGACCCUUUCUCCAGCAAAGGUCAUUUUCCAUGAAACAGGCAUUGCCUUGGCAGUGUGGGCUGGAAUGUAAAUGUACAUAUGAGAAACCCGGGCACAGCUAGGUGA